CAAGACAAUGGAACAACUGUGCAUU
rnacentral:piRNA from 1 species